GAUCUGCCCUGCACUUUGGGAUAAGCCUGGGAAACUGGGUCUAAUACCGAAUAGGACCAUGGCAUGCAUGUGCUGUGGUGGAAAGCUUUUGCGGUGUGGGAUGGGCCCGCGGCCUAUCAGCUUGUUGGUGGGGUGAUGGCCUACCAAGGCGACGACGGGUAGCCGGCCUGAGAGGGUGUCCGGCCACACUGGGACUGAGAUACGGCCCAGACUCCUACGGGAGGCAGCAGUGGGGAAUAUUGCACAAUGGGCGCAAGCCUGAUGCAGCGACGCCGCGUGAGGGAUGACGGCCUUCGGGUUGUAAACCUCUUUCGCCAGGGACGAAGCGCAAGUGACGGUACCUGGAGAAGAAGCACCGGCCAACUACGUGCCAGCAGCCGCGGUAAUACGUAGGGUGCGAGCGUUGUCCGGAAUUACUGGGCGUAAAGAGCUCGUAGGUGGUUUGUCGCGUUGUUCGUGAAAACUCACAGCUUAACUGUGGGCGUGCGGGCGAUACGGGCAGACUGGAGUACUGCAGGGGAGACUGGAAUUCCUGGUGUAGCGGUGGAAUGCGCAGAUAUCAGGAGGAACACCGGUGGCGAAGGCGGGUCUCUGGGCAGUAACUGACGCUGAGGAGCGAAAGCGUGGGGGAGCGAACAGGAUUAGAUACCCUGGUAGUCCACGCCGUAAACGGUGGGUACUAGGUGUGGGUUUCCUUCCUUGGGAUCCGUG
rnacentral:rRNA from 1 species